UCGAAUCCUGCUAAGCAACGACCCGAGAACAUGUUUAUCGCNNNCGUUGGGACGAGGGAAACCGCGGACCGAUGCCCCGACGACGNCCACCGGUCGCCCGUCGUGCAAACAACCAACCCACCCGCAGAAACGCGCCAAGGAAAACGUAAAUAAGGAUUGUCUGCCCCCCGUCGUGUCGUAUGGUGCGCACGGGAGGAUCACAGACGCCAAAAGAAACA
rnacentral:rRNA from 1 species